GACGAACGCUGGCGGCGUGCUUAACACAUGCAAGUCGAACGGAAAGGCCCUGCUUUUGUGGGGUGCUCGAGUGGCGAACGGGUGAGUAACACGUGAGUAACCUGCCCUUGACUUUGGGAUAACUUCAGGAAACUGGGGCUAAUACCGGAUAGGAGCUCCUGCUGCAUGGUGGGGGUUGGAAAGUUUCGGCGGUUGGGGAUGGACUCGCGGCUUAUCAGCUUGUUGGUGGGGUAGUGGCUUACCAAGGCUUUGACGGGUAGCCGGCCUGAGAGGGUGACCGGCACCAUGGGGACGGGAAAACGGCCCGAAUCCCACGGGGGGCCAGCGGUGGGGAAAUUUGCACAAGGGGCGGAAGCCUGAUGCAGCAACGCCGGGUGGGGGAGGACGGCCUUCGGGUUGUAAACCCCUUUCCCCUGGGACGAAGCGGGGGUGACGGAAAUGGGUAAAAAAGCACCGGCUAACUACGG
rnacentral:rRNA from 1 species